CUACGGGUCGCACCAGUGGGGAAUAUUGGACAAUGGGCGCAAGCCUUAUCCAGCAAUGCCGCGUGAGUGAAGACGGCCUUCGGGUUGUAAAACUCUUUCGCUAGGGAAGAUAAUGACUGUACCUAGUAAAGAAGUCCCGGCUAACUCCGUGCCAGCAGCCGCGGUAAUACGGAGGGGACUAGCGGUGUUCGGAAUUACUGGGCGUAAAGAGUUCGUAGGCGGACUGACAAGUUAGAGGUGAAAUCCCAGGGCUCAACCCUGGAACUGCCUUUAAAACUGUCAGUCUAGAGACCGGAAGAGGUUAGGGGAAUACCUAGUGUAGAGGUGAAAUUCGUAGAUAUUAGGUGGAACACCAGUGGCGAAGGCGCCUGACUGGUCCGGUACUGACGCUGAGGAGCGAAAGCGUGGGGAGCAAACAGGAUUAGAUACCCCAGUAGUC
rnacentral:rRNA from 1 species